AUGUUAAUCUAUAUCUUUAUGUAUGUCAAAGUUAAAUGUUUGACUUUCGCUGAAAAUAAUUUAUCUAGUUUGAGUCAUCCAAUUUGGGUUCUCCUUCAGCGAGCCAUGUUGAUCUCACCUCGUUCUCAAAACGCGGGAACUUUGAUAUGACUUUCUUUCCUUUUCGUCUGCAACUUCUUUUCGAAGACUAGAUUUAAAAAACAUGUCUAAAGUUCGCGAGUUACCAGCAUGGAUGAAAGCCAAACACAAUAAAGAAAGUGAAAGCACAGAUUGUCAGAAUAUUCAAUCAUACAGACCAAAUCAAAAGAAGCCAGAUGUAAAAGAAAAAGACCUUUCUUUUGCUGAACAAUUAGCAACAUGCCUCACUUUCAAUGGAAAAGUACAUUAUAUUCAUCAGAAGGAUGAAGGAAACUUUGUUUGCCAAAAUAUGCUAGACAGCCCUCAUAAACCAAUUGUUUGUGGAUUUGACAUUGAAUGGAAAGUUAACUACAGGGCUGGUGAGGGGCUAUGCAAAACAGCUCUUCUACAGAUUUGCACCUCUGAGAAGGAAUGCUUUUUGUUUCAUCUAGCAGCUAUGAAUGGUUUUCCUGUUGCUUUAAAAUGCCUUUUGGAAGACAAAAACAUCAUCAAGACUGGAGUGGGGAUCGAUGGAGAUAUGUCAAAACUUCGUACAGACUACAAGGUGAAUCCAGUGGGUGUUGUAGACUUGUCUCAGAUGCUGAACGAAAUAAAGAAAAUAAAUGAAAAAUGGAGCUUGAAUGGAAUGCUAGUCCACGUGGUGAAGAAAAGACUGGAAAAAGACCCGAAAAUUAGAUGUAGCAAUUGGGAGAGGUUUCCGUUAAGUCAAAAACAGAUUGAAUACGCAACCCUGGAUGCAUAUACCAACGCUGAAGGGAUCCGUGUGACAUUUCAAGAGGGCACAGUUUUGCAAAACGCCAGAUAAUCCAAGAAAAUACCACCUUGAAGAUUAUUACCCUAUACACCCUAUUAAUGCCCCUUCAGAGCGCAAGAAGACGCAAGUAAAAAGGUAUAGUAACAAGGUGAUAUACGUGUCAAACAGAAAAUCGGUCAUUUGACAGAGUGGACCAGACCGUCUGGCAAACCCUCAAAACCUUGAAAACAGGUAUCAUGUUAUACUCUUAUACUCCACUAAAUGUAAUGGCUGACGUUUGCCAAGGUGAUUGGGACUUGCGUUGUGUCAAGAAACCCCACAAGGAGCUACUCUUGAGGCUUUUUUGUUUUUGUAACUAGUUGCUUGUGCGAAGGGAAUUUCACUUUUUAUCUUCACAUCAGAGAGUUUCCCCUUCCUUACAUCGAUCGAGAUAUCUCUUCAAAGCUUUUGUCUUUCAAAGUCUUAGACAAGGUUUUGUUUGUUAGGAAAUGUUAUUCUCAACUUUUGCAACGGCAGCGCCGAUUAUUUCAUGAAUAAUUCAAGGUUAAUGUGAAAGGCAGCCAUUUUUGCUCGAUAAUUCAGCUGUUUUGGGAACGGCUGGGUCAAGAACAUGUUUUUCAAAAAAGUUGAAUGUUUUCUAGUCAAAAAAUCUGCGCUUUUCAAGGUUAAAAAAACUGUUAUGCAAUUGUUACAAAUUUUUGAGCAUAAGUUUUGAAUAUCAGUGAAAUUUGCUAGAGCUAUUUGGGUAUUCAUAGGCCAUUUCUGCACUGGCUAAUUUAUUUGUCAAAAAGCAAGAUCAUUUUGCUUUUGAAAUGAAUGAGCUGGUAAUACAAAAGUUUGAAUAGAAAUACAUUCGGCAGUUAUCAAUAAGUUUUAGAAAACUCCAUGUAAUUGCUAUGAUAGGUAUAUACAUGUGAUAUUCUAACACCAUAUAAUAUCCUAAGCAACAAUGAAAGCAAGAGAUUGAAAUCGUCGAGAACUAAAAAGAUUUCAAGAAGCAUUGCACUUCCUUUCCUCCAGGUCUGUUGGGAUUUAUGGAGUUUGCGCGAGGUGCUUCAAAACAGCAACAAAUACUGCUGUGUACACAAUCGCAGAUCGUGCAGUUUGGGAAAUUUUUCUAAGAAAGUUUAUAGGCUCUUUGAAUGAGGCAUUGUCGGUGAGAAAGUUUAUAUGUUGCUCGUCUGUGAAUCAAUAAUUGAAAAACUAGGUCGUUGUUACUUGAAUAUCUGUUGUUUUGACAGACAAGGAUUCAAGAUUUGAAUACUGUAUUAAACUGUAGUAAGUAAUGACAAACGUCCAAGCAGGUGGUGCGAGAUUAUCAAGUUGGCUGUGACGAUCACCAAACUUCUUUAAGUAGAAAAUCUUUGACGUAACCAAACAAUCGUGCAAUUAGACAUAUUGCGCUUAAAACUCGGUAUGGGUUUUAAUACCAUAGACUGCUACAGUCGACAGAAAUUGCUUUUAUUAAGCGCGAUUGAUCAGUUCAUAUUGCAGAGGCCCUUUUCACUUAAUUACUAUGAGACUAGCUAACGUAUCUCCAAUAUGAACAGCUCUGAAAACGUACUAAACUGACCAUUCGUUAUGCUGUGUAUUCAAAGUAAUUAUAGCUUUGUGACACAUGAAAAUAAUUUGGCAUUGCGAGGAGAUAUAGAGGAACUUCCCCCAAACCCCCCCCCCCCCUAGCUCCGACGGGCCUGUAAUGCAAUCAUCAGACAAAUGAUAGGUAAUCAUAGAAAUGAGAUGUCUUUUCCUUGGAAUGACUUUGACUUAUAUCUAUGUCAUAUUGCGAUUUUUUUUAGUUUCGCUUCCAGUCAUAAUCUAAGGAAAGUGCAGAGAGUUAUUUUUUAUUAUUUUGUGUGGCAGCAACGUUUCUGGAGAAAAUUUCCGGUGAAGAAAGCUUGAAUUUUGAUACAUUAUUGUUUAAAGAAAAGUUAAUCUAAUCGAACAUCCUGAAAGCGUGUGUAUGGUCAGUUUUUACUUAUGGAUGCGAGGCAUGGACCAUCGGAAAAGUGGUAAAAGAAAAUAUACAGGAAUUUGAGCUAUGGUGUAACCGGAGAAUAUUGAAAAUUAAAUGGAAAGAUAGAAUUAGAAAUAAAGAAGUACAGAGGAAUCCCGAUAUAACGAACUUCCCGGUCUAACGAACUAAAUGUCAGGUCCCUUGGAUUUUGCCUAACAAACUCCUUACAAACUCUCGCGGUAUAACGAACCCCGGAUAUAACGAACUCUCGAUAUUACGAACCCAAUUGUGUGUCCCUUCAUCAUAACUAGUAUGUCCCUCGAUAUAACGAACUUUUCAUAAAUUUUUAAUCUGUUAUUUUUGUUUGUUUAUUUUCGGCGUUCAUUUAUCACUUUAUGUUGGGACAAAUCACUUUUGCAAUCGGCAAAACAUGUCGAUGAUACAUUUCAAGCAAUGGCUGAUGGACUCGGUGCACGAGAUGAAAGUUUGUUUGCGUCAGAAAUUACUGCGAAUGAGUACAUUAACACUAACGAACACCUUCUUACAUAUGAGACAUUGGCAAUGAGCGACGACAAAAAUUAAUUGCGAGACCCAGACGGAAAAGCAGGAAAACGCAAAUAAAAAUGUAAAGUAAUGGAAGACAUCUUUCAGGCACCAACUAAGAGCGAAGUGAUACCAGCUUUGCCAAUCUCUUGGUCCCAAAUUAUGAAAGGAACAUUAAGAUUUUCAUUUUCAAUGACCAGCCAGUUGUAUUAUUUGAAUUCAGAUUGGUUUUUUAGAGUUAAAUUUGCACAGAGGUUGGAGAUUUAGGCGUGAACUGCGAAAGGAACAAAAAAACGUUAUCUGUCGGUCUAACGAACUCCGGAUAUAAGGAAUUAUUUUCUGCUACCCUUCAGAGUUCGUUAUAUCGGGAUUCCACUGUAUUACAGAAAAUGAACACAACCCUUAAACUGAACGACUCAAUUGCAAAAAGGAAAGCUGCGCUUUUGGGGCAUGUUGCAAGAGGAACAAGUGGCACAGUAUUUUGUAACAUCAUGGAAGGGUUUGUUCCAGGUAGAAUAUCUCGUGGAAGACUAGCAAGGAUAUGGAUAGAUGAUGUAAAAGAGUGAGCGAACAUUUGGAAUUAUGGUAUGCUUAAAAAUGUCUAAGGAUAGGGCUUGGUGGAAAAAUAGUAAGCGACCUACGGAUCAUGUAAUUGUAGAUGCUACACUGAAUGAAUGAGUGAAUUUAAUCGACAAAAAGGAAUCGAAACCAUCAUAUUUUAGUUAGAAAAGCAACUUACUUAUCAGUUAUUAAGACUACAGUAUCUAUUUUGCGGUUUCUUGCAACUUGGAUAUUUUUAUCUAGGGUCACCACAAAUGACAGGCUGGUAAAAAAACAAAAAACUCUUUUUCUUAGGGCCUGUUUACAAAGAGGCGAAUUUGAAGGCUUGUCUUGUAAGAAGAGCAUUAGAUUGUGAAGACCAGGUCAAUUUUCCUAGCCUUCUUUUCGUUCUUUAAAACAAUAAGUUAGCUUGCGAAUGAGAAGGUAAUCUUAAGAGAACCUUGUAAAAGAAAGCUUUCAUUACAUUGAAAUGGUGUUUGUUUGUGGCGGCUUUAGAGGGAAGGGGUCAUUUUUACUCGAAGCAAUACGCAAUAAGGUUUGAUCGAAGCAAUGUAUUCUUUCCCAUUAUUGACAGUAUUAAAUGCUAGCCUACUGGCAAGUAGCUUUAUUGCUAUCAUAAUCAUCAUGUCUACCAUAAUCGUCAUGAUCACCAACGUUACCGUUAUUUUCGUUGAUGAUUUUGUUGUUGUCAUUGUCGAUAUCUUCUCAAAUCUUGAGUUCUAAGUAUUAUUUUAGCAACAACUGAUUAAAAUAAGCACACGACUUCUCUUGAACCCUCAGUACUCUUCUCCUUUGUAGUUUACCUUAGUUGAUGGAACAUUGGGGAAGUGAUUUUCGAUUUAAAUGUGGUAGUCAUUUGGUACUGUGGAGGGGGAUCUAAGUUCACUGUAAUCUAAGGUGGAGGGGGCACUUGAACUUGAUGAGCGUUAUUUAUAUUUGUAUGAAUGCAUUUUUCUCUAAAACUAUGCAAGAUACUGAAACGAAAAUUCAACAGAUUAUUCUUGAAGGUACGGCGAGUUCAAAUAUGGUCAGCAAUAAGAUAGAUAUGCAUAUGACAUGCUUUCAUGAUUGAUAAAUGAAUCUCGCUGGAAAUAAAUGUAGUAUUAUUUAGAAGGAAUCGCCACAUCCUUCAUAGCACGACUUAAUUAGCCUUACAAUUCUAAGGGUUUCUUAAUAAAGUUUUCCCUUUAGAAUCGAAGCAGACACAAUUAUUUAGUUAUGCAAAUGGUUUGGAAUUUUGCUUGCAAAUGUGAUCCAUAAUUUUUUGCUAAUUAUCAGGAACGAGUAAAAGAAACUCGAUUUUAUUCGCAGCCACUGUUAACUCUGUUUGAAGUUGCUAAUCAAGUUCCGAGAAAGCCUUUAACUCAGCGAUCUUUCCGUUUUAAGUGAACGACCCGAAAAUCUUUGAUAGCUCUUUCAAGUUAUUUUUUGUAAAAAUUAUGUGUGAUUACAAAUUGAAACUGAUUCGUAUAAAAAGCUGUUCAUUCACAAAAAGACAACUUUCUCAAACCUCUGCAAAGCUAUGAGCAUUGAAUAUUGGUCUAUGAAAUUACGAAAGUUUUAUCAUAACUAUUUCACUCUCAAGUGCAAAGCAGAGCGAAAUGUUAAUGGGCUUAUAUAUAUUUUGAUGGGAUCGAGUAGACCACAUGCUUGAAAUAAUACAUUGUUCUAAAAAACCACAACUUUAACAACCAAAUAAAUAUUAGUGCACAAAAUGCUGCUUAAUUUAUUUUAUGCAAAUGAUAUUUUAAAGAA